AGAGUUUGAUCCUGGCUCAGGAUGAACGCUAGCGGGAGGCCUAACACAUGCAAGCCGAGCGGUAUUUAUUCUUCGGAAUAGAGAGUGCGGCGUACGGGUGCGGAACACGUGUGCAACCUGCCUUUAUCAGGGGGAUAGCCUUUCGAAAGGAAGAUUAAUACCCCAUAAUAUAUUGAAUGGCAUCAUUUGAUAUUGAAAACUCCGGUGGAUAGAGAUGGGCACGCGCAAGAUUAGAUAGUUGGUAGGGUAACGGCCUACCAAGUCAGUGAUCUUUAGGGGGCCUGAGAGGGUGAUCCCCCACACUGGUACUGAGACACGGACCAGACUCCUACGGGAGGCAGCAGUGAGGAAUAUUGGACAAUGGGUGAGAGCCUGAUCCAGCCAUCCCGCGUGAAGGACGACGGCCCUAUGGGUUGUAAACUUCUUUUGUAUAGGGAUAAACCUUUCCACGUGUGGAAAGCUGAAGGUACUAUACGAAUAAGCACCGGCUAACUCCGUGCCAGCA
rnacentral:rRNA from 1 species